rnacentral:rRNA from 1 species
UACGGGGGGGGCAAGCGUUGUUCGGAAUUACUGGGCGUAAAGGGCUCGUAGGCGGCCAACUAAGUCAGACGUGAAAUCCCCAGGCUCAACCUGGGAACUGCGUCUGAUACUGGAUGGCUUGAAUUCGGGAGAGGGAUGCAGAAUUCCAGGUGUAGCGGUGAAAUGCGUAGAUAUCAGGAGGAACACCGGUGGCGAAGGCGGGUCUCUGGGCCGAUACUGACGCUGAGGCACGAAAGCGUGGGGAGCAAACAGG